CUUCGAAACAGUUCAGUGUUCUGGCGGCGGGCAUAAAUUUAGUCAAUACGGACUAUGAGUGGUUAACGGAAACAGCGAGGAAUAAGACUAAGCUUCUCAUCUCAUGCAAGGACAACAGAAUGAAGAUGAAGUGAUCUCACCCCACCGUAACUGGAAUGGAUUUGGACCCCGUCUGACACAGCUCAGCACCCACCUGGACUUGGACCCACAUCUUCAUGUCUUCCAGUGCCAAUGACAGAUUCUGAUUCCUUGAAGUUAAAAGUGUAAUAGGAAACCAAGAGUGAGAUACAGAAAAAAUGAUUAUAGUAUGAACAAAUUUAAAAAGAAGACAGAAUCCCAACACCCAGGAGAAGAAAGAUCUAGAGUGGGAGCAUCAAGGAAAGAGUCAGAGAGAUGGAGAACCUGAAGGAAGUAAUGGAGGCAGUUCCAAAACAUAUGGAGGAAAGUACCAGAAGCAUUUAGAGAAGA